rnacentral:rRNA from 1 species
GAUGAACGCUGGCUGCGUGCCUAAUACAUGCAAGUCGAGCGAACGGACGAGAAGCUUGCUUCUCUGAUGUUAGCUGCUGACGGGUGAGUAACACGUGGAUAACCUACCUAUAAGACUGGGAUAACUUCGGGAAACCGGAGCUAAUACCGGAUAAUAUUUUGAACCGCAUGGUUCAAAAGUUAAAGACUGUCUUGCUGUCACUUAUAGAUGUAUCCGCGCUGCAUUAGCUAGUUGGUAAGGUAACGGCUUACCAAGGCAACGAUGCAUAGCCGACCUGAGAGGGUGAUCGGCCACACUGGAACUGAGACACGGUCCAGACUCCUACGGGAGGCAGCAGUAGGGAAUCUUCCGCAAUGGGCGAAAGCCUGACGGAGCAACGCCGCGUGAGUGAUGAAGGUCUUCGGAUCGUAAAACUCUGUUAUUAGGGAAGAACAUAUGUGUAAGUAACUGUGCACAUCUUGACGGUACCUAAUCAGAAAGCCACGGCUAACUACGUG